AUUGAAUUGUAUUGGGGUGAUAUUGGUUAAUAAAAUUAUAUAGGUUUCAGGUGUACAAUUCUAUAAUGCAUCAUCGGUAUAUUGUAUGGUGUGUUCACAUCCCAAGUCAAGUCUCCUUCCAUUACCAUUUAU